AAAAAAUACCAAGUUUAUAUAUAAAAUUGUCCCUAUAGAAUCAAUUACAUCAAUACAUAAGCCCUAAGUAUCAAAGAUCACCAAAAAUGUGAUAAAAAUAUGAUAAAACCUUAAAUAUCCCUAAAAUGAAUUUUUUCCAAACUUCAACACCUCAUAUCUCAUGAUCGGACUAUCCAAACAAAUUCAAAUUUUACAUAAAGUACUUAUGUGCUUUUAAAAACUACCACAAUAAAUUUCAACUACAAAUUCAUUAUGGAUCUUGAGAUAUCUUCAAAAUCCUUAUAGUAGCUUCAAACCUUUGCUUACAUACACCUAUCUGUAAUUUUCUUUAUAUCUUACAAAAUAAG
rnacentral:lncRNA from 1 species